GAUGUCAAGAUGGAUGCCACACAGCACCCAAGGACA
rnacentral:tRNA from 1 species